UUACGUCACGUGAUUGACACGUGAACUGCGUUGACACAGUUCAGGCUUCUAAUUGACACACCGGCUGCGUUGACACAGUCCAGGCUGCUAAUUGACACAUCGACUGUGUUGACACAGUCCAGGCUGCUAAUUGACACAUCGGCUGCGUUGACACAGUCCAGGCUGCUAAUUGACACGUGAACUGCACCGGUGCAGUUUAGACUGCAUCGGCUGCUUGGCACAGUACAGGAGGCUGCGCCACUUAGUCCAGGGGGCGUCGACUCAGUGCAGAGGGCGUUGACGCAGCAAAAGCCCGCCGCACAGUGUUUAUAAGGAAGUCGUUUGGCGACACAAAGCCACCUGCCGAAACAAGCCAGACCUCACUCACGCUCGCUUGUCGAAGUUCGUGUCAGUGCAGACUUCGUGUUCGUGCCUUGCCGAUUAUGGAGCAGAGACGCAAAUCAUCCGCCGUGUGGGACCAUUUUGAUGUCCUGGAGAAUAAGGUGAAAUGUCGAAUUUGCCAAGUCGAAUUGUCAUACACCAACAGAAGCACCUCCACUAUGCUGAGGCAUUAUCGGGCCAAGCAUGAGAAUGAAGUUCGCGAUACACCCAGUAUUACGCCAGGUUCCAGGAAGCAGCUGUACUGGAAGGACCAACACACUUCUUUCCCAAACCUCUCCCACCUCGCAAAGGAGUUCCUUUGUACGCCAGCCUCAUCCGUCCCUUGUGAGCGUGUGUUCUCCACAGCAGGAGAAAUCGCUUGUAAAAGACGCAACAGGCUGAAGUUUAAAACAU